rnacentral:rRNA from 1 species
AAAAGGUGGCUAUGCUACCGCUUUUGGAUGGGCCCGCGGUGCAUUAGCUAGUUGGUGGGGUAAAGGCUUACCAAGGCAAUGAUGCGUAGCCGAACUGAGAGGUUGAUCGGCCACAUUGGGACUGAGACACGGCCCAAACUCCUACGGGAGGCAGCAGUAGGGAAUCUUCCACAAUGGGCGAAAGCCUGAUGGAGCAACGCCGCGUGGGUGAAGAAGGUCUUCGGAUCGUAAAACCCUGUUGUUAGAGAAGAAAGUGCGUGAGAGUAACUGUUCACGUUUCGACGGUAUCUAACCAGAAAGCCACGGCUAACUACGUGCCAGCAGCCGCGGUAAUACGUAGGUGGCAAGCGUUAUCCGGAUUUAUUGGGCGUAAAGGGAACGCAGGCGGUCUUUUAAGUCUGAUGUGAAAGCCUUCGGCUUAACCGGAGUAGUGCAUUGGAAACUGGGAGACUUGAGUGCAGAAGAGGAGAGUGGAACUCCAUGCGUAGCGGUGAAAUGCGUAGAUAUAUGGAAGAACACCAGUGGCGAAAGCGGCUCUCUGGUCUGUAACUGACGCUGAGGUUCGAAAGCGUGGGUAGCAAACAGGAUUAGAUACCCUGGUAGUCCACGCCGUAAACGAUGAAUGCUAAGUGUUGGAGGGUUUCCGCCCUUCA